rnacentral:rRNA from 1 species
GUGGGGAAUAUUGGGCAAUGGGCGCAAGCCUGACCCAGCAACGCCGCGUGCAGGAAGAAGGCCUUCGGGUUGUAAACUGCUUUUGUACGGAACGAAACGGUCCUGGUUAAUACCUGGGGCUAAUGACGGUACCGUAAGAAUAAGCACCGGCUAACUACGUGCCAGCAGCCGCGGUAAUACGUAGGGUGCAAGCGUUAAUCGGAAUUACUGGGCGUAAAGCGUGCGCAGGCGGUUUUGUAAGACAGGCGUGAAAUCCCCGGGCUCAACCUGGGAAUGGCGUUUGUGACUGCAAAGCUGGAGUGCGGCAGAGGGGGAUGGAAUUCCGCGUGUAGCAGUGAAAUGCGUAGAUAUGCGGAGGAACACCGAUGGCGAAGGCAAUCCCCUGGGCCUGCACUGACGCUCAUGCACGAAAGCGUGGGGAGCAAACAGGAUUAGAAACCCGUGUAGUCC